rnacentral:rRNA from 1 species
CCUACGGGAGGCAGCAGUGGGGAAUUUUGCGCAAUGCUCGUAAGAGUGACGCAGCGACGCCGCGUGAAUGACGAAGGCCUUAGGGUCGUUAAGUUCUUUUGACAGGGACGAAAAUGCAUAUAAGUAACUGUGUAUGUAUUGACGGUACCUGUAUAAGCAGCCCCGGCUAACUCCGUGCCAGCAGCCGCGGUAAUAAGGAGGGGGCGAGCGUUGUUCGGAGUGAUUGGGCGUAAAGAGCACGAAGGCGGUGUUGUAAGUCAUUAGUCAAAGACUAGAGCUCAACUUUAGUAAGGCUAGUGAUACUAUAAUACUAGAGUAUCAGAGAGGAUGUCAGAAUUCCUGGUGUAGCGGUGAAAUGCGUAGAUAUCAGGAGGAAUACCGAUAGCGAAGGCGGCAAUCUAGCUGGAAACUGACACUGAGGUGCGAAAGCGUGGGUAGCAAACAGGAUUAGAUACCCCUGUAGUC